UACGGAGGGUGCAAGCGUUAAUCGGAAUUACUGGGCGUAAAGCGCACGUAGGUGGCUGAAUAAGUCGGAUGUGAAAGCCCUGGGCUCAACCUGGGAAUUGCAUUCGAUACUGUUCGGCUAGAGUACGGUAGAGGGAGGUAGAAUUCCUAGUGUAGCGGUGAAAUGCGUAGAUAUUAGGAGGAAUACCGGUGGCGAAGGCGGCCUCCUGGACUGAUACUGACACUGAGGUGCGAAAGCGUGGGGAGCAAAC
rnacentral:rRNA from 1 species